UAUUUAUUGUAUUGUUUCCCUGCAUCAUUCUGCAUUUAUGUAAAUUCAGCUGUGAGGUUGCCUGGAGGAGAUUGGAUCUUCUGGAGCUGAGAGACCUCCUACUUCCUGGUUGCCCCUACUCGUCUGUGAUUGGUGUGGCAGAGAUUCCUGCGAGGCAGCCAAUCAGAGGACAUCAAUCAGCAGGCUGCACCUUAUAAAAGGAUCGUGUGUCCACAGUUCAUGGCGGCUGUGAGACAGUGAACAGUCUGCCUUUGCUAUUGGUUAUAUCAAUUUGUGUAAAUUAAGAGUAUUGUGUUAGUGUGUGUGGUGCAGUAUUGUUCGACUGUUUGAGGGGUUUCAAACCUUGUGUUAUCUUAGGACACUUUGUUAAUUCUGUAGUUUACAACUUUGUUUGUUAAUGAAUACCAAGACUUUGGACACCCUUUGUUAAAAUCCUAGUUUGUUUUGUUUCUUAGUUUUGUGUAAGCUUAUGGUUGCUGACCUCCUUUUGUUCUAAAGUGUUUUGUGUAAACCAAGAGUUUGGUAAUUUAUGUUAGUUGUAUAUUGUAUUGCAUAUUGUCAGCUCCAUACAGCCUCUUUUUGUUAGCUUUUGUUGUAAAAGCAUCCUCUUACUGGUUAAUAAAACCCUGAUUUAACCAGAACCUCCCAGUGUUACGUUCCACCUUCAUUUCUAUACCCUUUUCACAUGUUACUGCUCUCAAAAUCGAGCCGGGUCGUAACAUAAAUGGGGGCUCGUCCGGGAUAGAAAUGUAAAUGUAAAUUGACACUGGAGUCAGGUUUGUCAGUGUUUUGUUGGUAAGAGUUUGCUGAGCUCCUUUAACUACUAGGUAGGUGAGUUCAUUAGUGGAUUCAGCUGUCUACUAGAGUGAGUGCUGCUGCCUCCUGAGCACCAUGGCAGAAAAGUUUAAUUUGGAUAACUUUGUAGUGCAUCCUACUAUUGAACAGGUACAUAGUUGUAGGAAGGAUGAUUUAGUAAAGAUAGCUUGUCACUUCAUGAUUCCCAUUGUCAGGUCCAUGCUUAAAAGAGAAAUUAAAGAACAAGUGAUUAGUGGAUUGGUGGAACAGGGUGUGAUUACUCUGACUGAGCAGUUGCAGUCUGUGUCUCUUCCCAGUUCCUCAGCAGAAGCUGAGAGUGGUCCAGGUACUGAGACACCCUCAGACUCUGGGAAAGUCUACCAGGCAGGUGAGCGAGCAAAGACCCCGUUUACUCUGCCUAAGUAUGAUCCUUCCCCACAGAGCAGUACUGGCCAUACCGAGGCUCGGCUUAAAGUUCGUCUUGCUCGGUUACAACUGGAAGCUCAGCAGCGGGAAACUCAGUCCAAGCUCCAGCUCCAGUUGGAAAUAAGAAGAGCUGAACUGCAGGAGGAAACUGAGAGGGCAGUGAGACUGAGGCAACUUGAGCUUGAGGCUUCUGCCAUGGGGCGAAGUGCUCCUAGAGGUUCAGGUAUGUCACCACCUUCCGCCACUUCCACUAGUUCACCUCAGAUGGCAUUUGACAUUAGUAAGCAUGUGGCUUUAGUUCCUGUAUUUCGGGAUAAUGAAGUUGACUCCUAUUUUAAUGUAUUUGAGAGGAUAGCGGCUGCUUUACAAUGGCCACCUGAAGUAUGGACGCUUCUGCUUCAGUUUAAAAUGCAUGGCAAAGCUCAGGAUGCUAUGGCUGCACUCCCUGUUGAAGAUAGCUUAGACUAUGAAACUGUUAAAACGGCUAUCCUAAGAGCAUAUGAACUUGUGCCUGAAGCGUACAGACAAAAGUUUCGAGGUCACAAGAAAACUUCUGCUCAGACCUAUGUUGAGUUUGCCCGUGAGAAGGGAACACUUUUUGAUAAAUGGUGUACAACAUGUUAAGCAUGUGAUUUCAAUGCUUUGAGAGAGCUGAUCCUGCUAGAGGACUUCAAGAAGUGUUUGUCUGAAAGAAUUGUUGUGUAUCUGAAUGAGCAGAAAGUGAGUACACUUUCUUCUGCUGCUGUUCUGGCAGAUGAGUAUGUGUUAACCCAUAAAUCUGUUUUUUCUCCAGUCUCUGCUGUUUCACGACACUCCUCUCCUCCCAGACCCUCAAAUCCCCGUGGGCCGAAAGAGGACAGGGAAUGUUUUUACUGUCAUCAGGUUGGCCAUGUCAUUGCAAAUUGCUUGACACUAAAACGCAGAGAGCAGUCCUCACGCCAUUCUCAAGCAAAAGGGGUAGGACUGAUUAAAGCAGAUCGUAGAGUUAACACUGACUCAUCUGAUCAGAAGAUUGAUGACUGUUUUAAGCCAUUUGUGUUCGAUGCUUUUGUGUCACUGACUGGUGAGUCAGCUGAUAGACGUCCCAUACGUGCUUUGAGGGAUACUGCAUGCUCUCAAUCUGUUGUUCUGGCUUCAGCUCUGCCUUUCUCUGAUAACUCUGCUUGUCACUACAGUUCAGUUCUGAGAGGAGUUGAAAUGGGUUAUGUGCCACGACCAGUGCACCGCGUCCAUAUCCAGUCCUCUCUUGUUACUGGGUUCUUUCCAGUAGCGGUUUGUACUGAACUGCCGAUCCCUGGUAUCGUGCUCCUGAUGGGGAACGAUAUCGCUGGUGGUAAGGUAACGCCCACAUUAGAAGUCCUAGAUCACCCCCAGUGUGAUGGGAUCCACACCUCAGAUCAGACACCCCCCAAUGUAUUUCCAGCCUGCGCUGUAACUCGCGCUCGCUCUCGUGAAAUUGGCCCAGAUGAUCCUGAAGUUUCCUUGUCUGACAGUUUAUUUCUGUCAGUUUUUUCAGAUGACAAAGAGGAGAAAGAGUCUGAGAGCUUCUUGCCUGUUCAGGCUGAGUCUGCUGAGCAAACGCCCCCGACUGGCUCAGAACUGCCGUUAUCUGGAGCGACUCAUGCGGUGGGCACUGUUGGUCCAGGACUACCACCUUGACAUCAGGCAUAAAAAAGGGACUGAAAAUGUCUUGGCUGAUGUAUUGUCUCGGCUGUAGAGCUUAUGUAUUGUGUAUCCUUAAUGUCAAAGCCGUAAGGGCUUGUAAUUUAAGGGGGGGGAGUGUUACGGCUGCCUGCCGUUUCUUUAUUUAUUGUAUUGUUUCCCUGCAUCAUUCUGCAUUUAUGUAAAUUCAGCUGUGAGGUUGCCUGGAGGAGAUUGGAUCUUCUGGAGCUGAGAGACCUCCUACUUCCUGGUUGCCCCUACUCGUCUGUGAUUGGUGUGGCAGAGAUUCCUGCGAGGCAGCCAAUCAGAGGACAUCAAUCAGCAGGCUGCACCUUAUAAAAGGAUCGUGUGUCCACAGUUCAUGGCGGCUGUGAGACAGUGAACAGUCUGCCUUUGCUAUUGGUUAUAUCAAUUUGUGUAAAUUAAGAGUAUUGUGUUAGUGUGUGUGGUGCAGUAUUGUUCGACUGUUUGAGGGGUUUCAAACCUUGUGUUAUCUUAGGACACUUUGUUAAUUCUGUAGUUUACAACUUUGUUUGUUAAUGAAUACCAAGACUUUGGACACCCUUUGUUAAAAUCCUAGUUUGUUUUGUUUCUUAGUUUUGUGUAAGCUUAUGGUUGCUGACCUCCUUUUGUUCUAAAGUGUUUUGUGUAAACCAAGAGUUUGGUAAUUUAUGUUAGUUGUAUAUUGUAUUGCAUAUUGUCAGCUCCAUACAGCCUCUUUUUGUUAGCUUUUGUUGUAAAAGCAUCCUCUUACUGGUUAAUAAAACCCUGAUUUAACCAGAA